rnacentral:rRNA from 1 species
CCUACGGGUGGCAGCAGUGGGGAAUAUUGCACAAUGGGGGAAACCCUGAUGCAGCGACGCCGCGUGAAGGAUGAAGGAUUUCGGGAUGUAAACUUCUAUCAGAAGGGAAGAAAAUGACGGUAACUGACGAAGAAGCAUCGGCUAACUACGUGCCAGCAGCCGCGGUAAUACGUAGGGGGCAAGCGUUAUCCGGAUUUACUGGGUGUAAAGGGAGCGUAGACGGUAUGGAAAGUGUGCUGUGAAAAUCCGGGGCUCAACCCCGGGACUACAUUGGAAACUGUCGAACUCGAGUGUCGGAGAGGUAACUGGAAUUCCUAGUGUAGCGGUGAAAUGCGUAGAUAUCACGCAGAACUCCGAUAGCGAAGGCAGCUUACCGGCACGCUACUGACGCUAAUGCACGAAAGCGUAGGUAUCGAACAGGAUUAGAUACCCUUGUAGUC